GACGAACUGUCCAAACGUUGUUCGGAAUCACUGGGCUUAAAGGGCGCGUAGGCGGUCGAUCAAGUCAGGGGUGAAAUCCUGCAGCUUAACUGUAGAAGUGCCUUUGAUACUGGUCGUCUCGAGGGAGGUAGGGGUGUGUGGAACUUCCAGUGGAGCGGUGAAAUGCGUUGAUAUUGGAAGGAACGCCGGAGGCGAAAGCGACGCACUGGACCUCUUCUGACGCUGAGGCGCGAAAGCUAGGGGAGCAAAC
rnacentral:rRNA from 1 species